rnacentral:rRNA from 1 species
CUCGUAGGCGGCUCGUCGCGUCCGGUGUGAAAGUCCAUCGCUUAACGGUGGAUCUGCGCCGGGUACGGGCGGGCUGGAGUGCGGUAGGGGAGACUGGAAUUCCCGGUGUAGGGGUGAAAUCUGUAGAUAUCUGGAAGAACACCAAUGGCGAAGGCAGGUUUCCAGCACAUAACUGACGCUCAGGUGCGAAGGUGCGGGGAUCAAACA